rnacentral:rRNA from 1 species
UACGUAGGGUGCAAGCGUUGCCCGGAAUUAUUGGGCGUAAAGAGCUCGUAGGCGGUUUGUCGCGUCUGCGUGUGAAAACCUGGGGCUUAACCCCGGGCCUGCAGUGGGUACGGGCAGACUAGAGUGUGGUAGGGGAGACUGGAAUUCCUGGUGUAGCGAUGAAAUGCGCAGAUAUCAGGAGGAACACCGGUGGCGAAGGCGGGUCUCUGGGCCAUAACUGACGCUGAGGAGCGAAAGCGUGGGGAGCGAACAGG